rnacentral:lncRNA from 1 species
CCCAGGGUUCUGGCUGCUGAGCGCGGCAAUAGCAACUGCUGGCUUGUGAGGGUUUGGGUUGAACUGGAAGUGGAUGAGCCCUUGUGGGAAUACAAACACAUCACCCUUGUUGAGAACCUUGGCAAACAGUUUGUUUGGGUUGGAGGUGACAAAUCCGACGUACAGGGUCCCCUCGAGCACGGUGAGGAUCUCUGUGGCACGUGGGUGGGUGUGUGGUGGAUUCUGACCUAACGGCGCAUAGUCAAUGCGGGCCAAUGAGAUGCCCAGUGUGUUGAGUCCAGGCAACUGCAUGACAUUGAUCAAAGUGACAUUGGAUCCAACCUUGCUCUUCUUGGUGUCCAUAGGCUUAUCAAGGUUGGCUGCCUUGAAGAAGUCAUCUGCGUUCACGGCCAUGGGGUCCUUGCAAACAAAUCCAUUGACCUUCACUGCAAAUAUAGAUGAAAGAAAAUUGGUAAACACAUAUUAGAAAUUAUUGGAGGCAGUAAAUAAAGAUGCUUUUUGUAUGUAGAUGUAUGUUAACAAAUGAUUUUUUUGUGAUCAUAGAUUUGGUUAAGGAACACAUAAUGAUUUGAAGCAACUGCGUUCGUACCAGGAGAGUGUAUGUCGGCAACACAAAAGUCCUGGAGCGGGCCAGGGUCGGAAGCAAUGGCUUGAGAAGUGACCAUUGCUAGAAAAGCUGCGAGCAGAAAGUAGGAGGCAGCCAUUUGAGUUUGUCUCAGCUUUUGUGUUUGAGCUCUGAAGUAGACUAUUCAGCUGCUUGUGAUGGUGUAUGUCUUGUUGAUGCUUUGGGCAUGGAGAUGGUGGGCUUAUAUAGGCUGCCACAGAAAGUGGCAACAUGAAGUUGACGACUGAACUAGUCUCGCUAUGUUGAACGUACCAAAACAGAAGAAACGGUCUCUGGCUGCUAGAAGCUGAUGAUGAAACAACGCAAUAAAAAUUUAAAGCCGGUAACUAAUUCCUUGAUGUGUAGUGGUUUAAUUAUUUGUUAAUUGUUACCACGCAAGGUACUGCUGCUGAUACGGUUCAGAAAGAAAGCGCCCUCGUCCAUUAUUUACUUAACUAACUGCCACAGAAAAGUUGAAAUAUGGAGAUGAUCAACUUUCUAAAGCAAACUGACAGGGUCACACGAUAUGAGCCCUGCACAGGCGCGUAGUUGGUGCACUAUGAUAGUUGUGAAAACUAGAAAAAUGGUAUGGUGCAUCCCGGUCAAUCUGUGCUUGCACACACACAUACGUACAGAAUUAAAGAGUCGACAGUGCAAAGGUGUUUAUUUUUAGAUUAAUUCACUUUGUAUACUCAUACAAUAAUCAGUCUCCCUAUCGUCAUUCAUGAUCACCUCAUCUUUUUUACUUUUGAGUUGAUCAGGCACGGCUUCUAUCGCUACUAGAUAAGAAACAGUUAUCUGCCUAUUCAACUCCUUGACUUGUUCAUAUCACACACAUAUCAUCACACCCGUAUAGGAAACUGCUGUUUAAUUUAGGCCAAGUAUUCGGGCGUUGCUAAGUGGUUUAUUUGCUAUGACUUAAGAACUGCAGGAUCAGGUGAUGGCUAAUAAUGCUCUAGAAGCAUAGAUCAUUAUUUAAAAUACUGAUCAGUACUAGAUAAUACAAAAAGUAUUUUGCAUUAAAUCUCAAAACCAUGAACAGAUGUCUAUCCACAUAAUAAUUAUUUCUCCGUUAAUCUUAAUAUACUGGUUUUAACUUAAAAAGAAAACAUGAUCACCAACUUUUUGUUUACUGAGUCUAUGCUUGAUACUUUAUUAGUGUAUGGUGGGACGGCUGCUGCUUAGUGAUUCAAGAUGGUAAGCAUUAAUUUUAAAAAAAUGUAGAAGUUUAGAUUAUGGAGUAAUGUUCAUAAAAGAUAUUUCCAUUAAUCACUACAGUGCUCGAGAUCCAAAUGAAAAAUGUUGAAGCUGGUAAAUGAUUCUUUUAUGCGUAGUGGUUUGUCAAUUGUUACCAUCCACGGGCAUUUUAUUGAUUCGAUUCAUAAAAAAAGUGUCAUCCAUUAUUUAGUUAAUUAACUGAUAGAAAAUUGAAAUAUGAAGAUGAUUUAGUUUUCUAAAAAAAAAUAGAGUCACACAAGAAUUAUAAGAAUGGCAUAUGAGCAGCUUGUGGACUGUGAUAGUUGCGGAAACUAGAAAAAUGGUAUGGUGCAGUGCAAAGGUCAAACUAUGCUUGCACUCACCUAAAUAAGAGUAAAAAGCGUGCAGAAAUCUAUUGUUACUUCCUAAUAUCCGCACAUUGUACCUUAUACAAUGAACAAUUUCCCUGUACUCAUGUUCACCUGAUACCAAGAAGGCAUGCAAGAACAACUUGUAGAGGGGAAGCUGCCACACACGAUUUACUUUUGAGAUCAAACCAAAUUAGCUGUGUCCUCACACGCUUUCCUUGUGAGUUAAUCAUCAGGUCAGGCUGCUAUCACUCCUAGAUAAAAGUAAAAAAGAUGAUCUGCCUACUCAGCUCCUUGACUUGUUCAAAUAUUACACAGGUAUGUGUGAACGUGCUAAUUAAUUGAGGCCAUGUAUUCGGCUGCUGCUUAGUGAUUUAACGGCCUAUGACUUAUGAACUACAGGAUUAGGUAAUGCAUAAUCAUGCUUUGAAAGCAUAACUAAUUAUUUAAAAUACUGAUAAAUACCAGACAAGAUGAAUAUAUAUAUACAGUAUAUAUAUAUAUAUAUUUAAAAUCAUGAAUAUAGUUUUAACUUAAAGAGAAUACUUGUGCAGUUUUUUUUUGUUAGUGUGUGGUAUGUGGGACGGGUUUUCUUUCUUGCUCUGCAUCUAUGCCUAGGCCCAUAAAGUGGAUUCAAUUUUUAAGGCAUAUACAGGUCCCUUUGGUAGAAGAAGCUGGAUUAAGCGUGUAGCUGGUGGACGGCGCUGCUUGGUGUAAACUAAUUACGAAGAAAUGAUGUUGCCUCUGUCAAUUUAGUUAUGUAUGCAUUCAAAAAGAAAAUCCCACGUCAUGGAGCACUUACAAACAAACCUUAUAAUAUCUAUGCUUUGUACCUAACACAGCUGGUAAAAAACUCAAGGUUAUUGUCAUCGAUGAUCACUUGGCCAUAGAAGAUCAAGGUUUCCAAUAUUUACUAGGCCAGCAUUUUGUUGGAGCAGCUACUUGCAUGACUUAAUCCAAUGCAUCCGUACGAUGAUGAGGAGGGUAGCUGUCGCACAUGCUUGCCUGUUGAAUAUUACCAGGUCAGUAACCAUGUUAUUGGCCUAGUCAACUUCUUGACUUGUUCAUACUAUACCGCCGAGUCAAUAAGCAGCUGGAUCUCUUUUCUUACAAUACUAUAUAUAGUUUAUACUACACUUGACCUGAAGAGAGAACAUGCAUGCAUGUACAUUUUUUCAAAGAUUCAAUUCUAUUGUUGCUUGAUAUUGUAACAGGGGAGGGUGUGGGAGGGUCUAUUUGUUGAUUCACAGCCUAGGUGAGGUAUGUUUGACUAGGUGCUUUGAAUAUCUUGUGUAUUUUCCGUAGCUCUAAAAAUGUACUCCUUUCGUUUUAAAAUAUAUGAAAAAUAUCUUGUCCUAAACACCGUGCAUUUAAAAACAUAGUACUACUGUUUGCACAUCAAUUGUCUAAAUUUGCUGGUCUGGAUGUUUCUUUUAAAAUAUUGGUGUUAUUAGUUAGAUAGAAAAUUCUGCUCCUUGCGCGUUGUUGCAACUUGAAACCACAUUGUCUGUAGGAAAUUAAAUGAUAGAUAAUACUGAUCUUUGUAAUUUUGGGGUUAAUUUAUAGGAACUAAAGCACAAUUCGAACUAAUGAUUUUAGAUGGUUUUAAUGGUGAUUUCUUCCUGCACUAUGUAAGAGGGUUUACGAGUACACUAUCAAAUAUUUGAAUAAUUGAAUGGCUAAUCCUCCUUCAAAUCGUCGUUUCAUUAUGUGGAGUACAGUUACAGAAGUUGUACUAAUCAUGUUGGACACACUAGCAAAUCUGGCUUGUUUUAUUUGCACUUACAACGUAACACUUACUCCCUCCGUCCCAAAAAGAAUGCAACUCUCACUUCUCGAGGAUUCAAACGGUUUUAAAUUUGACUCCGAAUAGAUUUAGUAUAAAAAUAUAUUACAUGGUUAAUCUAUUGAUAUUUAUUUUGUACCAUAAAUGUUAGUACUAUUUUGUAUAAAUUUGGUCAAAUUUAAAAUUGGUUAACUUCUCAGAAAACGAGAGUUUCAUUCUUUUUGGGACGUUCCUUUCUUUUUCUUGCACAUGAGAUUACUUGGACGCAGCAUAAUUCUCAAGUGUCCAAUGCUGCGUGUGGUCCUGAUAAUCAGACCCCAUUUGUCAAUAUCUUGAAGCAGGAGCAGUGCUAGCGGCCUGUGGAAAUGUCGACAUCGUUCAAAACGCAGCCGAUCAAAGACAAAAAGCUGUCACGUCAGCCAAGCACCGGAACCAGUUUGUUGACAAGCUCGUCUUCACAAUUCUAGACAACCUGUUUGUUCCAGUACGUGUUCCAUCUCAGUGCAAGCAUCAUCUCUCCAUCCCAACUGAGCCAAGAGAUGCUGCAAUAAUCUGCAAGGACUCCAGAGCGACCAGAGGAACGGGAGGUUUCAUUUGAGCACGGCUUCAGUUUCAUGGGCUAACAUCUUGCGUGUAACAGGCUUCAUGUUUCGUGGCUAUAUGGAUGAAGAUAAAUUGCACCGUGACACUCAAAGGACAAUAAUAAGUUUUUUGCGGGUAUAAGGACAAUAUAAUAAGUUGAGGUACAAGUCAAGACCAUCUGUGUUGAAGAAAAAUAUUGUUUACAUUAAUAUAAAACGAAGACAUAUAAUGGUACAACAGCUCGCAGGCACACAUUAACAAGAAGUCAGUAGUACCUAAUAGUCACCAUUUAUUUUCUAAAUCGUAGCAUAGAAACUUAAAACAUGUAGUUAUAUGCAAGAUGCAUAUAACGAAAACUCUCGGUACAACAAACCUAAAACAUUGAUUACUUAGUUGUGGUUAUUCUCCCAGAAUUGAGCUUGGAGCCAAUCAAUUGUCCCCUUUUGCACCUGGAAUGCCUUGGCCAAGACAUCAUCAGAAAUUGGUGGCUUUGAUCCAAAAACCGCAUUUGCGAUGGUAAUAGCACCAGGGUUCUGGCUGCUGAGCGCAGCUAUAGCAACUGCAGGCUUGUCAUAGACAGGGUUGAAUUGGAAAUGGAUGAGCCCUUGUGGGAAUACAAACACAUCACCCUUGUUGAGCACCUUUGCAAACAGUUUGUUUGGGUUGGAGGUGACAAAUCCAACAUACAGGGUCCCCUCGAGCACGGUGAGGAUCUCUGUGGCACGUGGGUGGGUGUGUGGUGGAUUUUGACCUAACGGCGCAUAGUCAAUACGGGCCAAUGAGAUGCCCAGUGUGUUGAGUCCAGGCAACUGCAUGACA